GACGAACCGUACGAACGUUAGUCGGAAUCACUGGGCUUAAAGGGUGCGUAGGCUGCGCGGAAAGUUGGGUGUGAAAUCCCUCGGCUCAACCGAGGAACUGCGCCCAAAACUGCCGUGCUCGAGGGAGACAGAGGUGAGCGGAACUUAGGGUGGAGCGGUGAAAUGCGUUGAUAUCCUAAGGAACACCGGUGGCGAAAGCGGCUCACUGGGUCUCUUCUGACGCUGAGGCACGAAAGCUAGGGUAGCGAACGGG
rnacentral:rRNA from 1 species